AUUGAACGCUGGCGGCAGGCUUAACACAUGCAAGUCGAACGAGUGGCGGACGGGUGAGUAAUGCUUGGGAAUCUGCCUUAUGGAGGGGGAUAACGACGGGAACCUGUCGCUAAUACCGCGUACCAUAGGAUGCGCCCAAGUGGGCUUAGGUAGUUGGUGGGGUAAUGGCCGACCAAGGCGACGAUCUCUAGCUGGUCUGAGAGGAUGACCGGCCACACCGGGAGUGGGACGCGGCCCGGACGCCUGCGGGAGGGAGCAGUGGGGAAUAGUGCGCAAUGGGGGCAACCUGGCGCAGCCAGGCCGCGGGAAUUAAGAAGGCCUUGGGGUUGGAAAGUUCUUUCGGGGAGGAGGCGUUACUCGCAGAAGAAGCACCGGCUAACUCCGUGCCAGCAGCCGCGGUAAUUC
rnacentral:rRNA from 1 species